rnacentral:rRNA from 1 species
CCUACGGGGGGCUGCAGUGGGGAAUAUUGGACAAUGGGGGGAACCCUGAUCCAGCCAUGCCGCGUGUGUGAAGAAGGCCCUCGGGUUGUAAAGCACUUUUAGUGAGGAAGAACGCCUGGUGGUUAAUACCCAUCAGGAAAGACAUCACUCACAGAAGAAGCACCGGCUAACUCCGUGCCAGCAGCCGCGGUAAUACGGAGGGUGCGAGCGUUAAUCGGAAUUACUGGGCGUAAAGCGCGCGUAGGUGGCUUGAUAAGCCGGUUGUGAAAGCCCCGGGCUUAACCUGGGAACGGCAUCCGGAACUGUCAAGCUAGAGUGCAGGAGAGGAAGGUAGAAUUCCCGGUGUAGCGGUGAAAUGCGUAGAGAUCGGGAGGAAUACCAGUGGCGAAGGCGGCCUUCUGGACUGACACUGACACUGAGGUGCGAAAGCGUGGGUAGCAAACAGGAUUAGAUACCCCGGUAGUC